rnacentral:lncRNA from 10 species
CCCGGCCGCCCGCUCUCCCCGGCGCCCGCCGCCGCCGCUCGCUUUUUUAAUGUCCACAGACAGUGAAAAGGAACUCGGCGUUAGGGGGCUGCCACCGUGUCGGAGGCGAGGCGAGGAAGGGAGCUGGAAUAACAAAGGGAGGUAAUGGGGUAGAUUGGAUACCUCUGGGGUCUUGGAAGAAGCUAUGACUUAUUUACUGUCUACUAUGUGCUGAAGCCACUUGCUCAGAGCCGCACAGCAAGCCCACCACCCUGAACCUCCAGAUUACCAACUCAGCAUUGUGUCCUGACAGUGUCAUCAUAGAUGGUCAACACCGUCACCUGGGCAGCACUGAAGCCCAGAGCGGGAGAGACUGGCUCAAGACCAUGGGCCCUGACAUUCUCCAGCUUUCAUGGUGUUCCUGCAAUCCAAGUGCCGCUUAUCUCUCUACAGGUCCACCAGAUGACCGGCUGGCCUCCUAAUUGGGCUUCCUGCAUUCCUGCCUGUGCUCGGAGCUCCCUUCUCCACUUGCCUGCUGGAGGAGGUUUACAAACAAAAUCAGAUCAUGGCACUCCCCUGGGGCCCUGCAUCCUGUGGCCAGCAGGUCUUGGAAACGCCCCUGUACCCCAGAAACUUCCUGAUCAGUCCCUGGUCAGUGUAUAUCAUGCUUCCUGUGACAUGACAUCAACUUUUCAGUGACUUCCACUGGUUUUGGCCCAGCUCGAAGAGCCUGACACCUCUGCAGGGAAUUCUACCAGGGAGCUCAGGAGGGGGAAUUGCACUGAAGAUUUGUCCCAUCGUGAAGCAAGAGCACUGGAACUUACACUCCACCAUCAGGCCCUGUCACAGGAGAACAAAGAAGGAAGGCAGAGGAGAUCAUGCUCCGGCCAGCAGGGAAUCUCCAUUUUUUUCAGCCUCAUACCUUGGAAAGUACAAAGGAGUGAGAGCUGGGACUACCAGCCAGAGGGUUCAUGGAGGUAGUGGGAGGGGAAGAUGGGUUCUGCAUGGAGCCACUCCAGGGACUUUUCUUCUGUCUCACAGCCUGACAAUCACCUCUAGCUGUUCUCAGUCCCAUUCUCAUCAAUGACCUCGUCUCCUGAUUUUGUACAAUAUCUAGGUGACCUUCUCUUCUUUCCAUCUUCAAACGCUUGAUCAUUGAUGCUCCCUUUUCUCUUCUCUCUCCUCCUGGGAAAAGAGAAGGACCAACAUCCCCCUUUCCCUUCCUCCUGUGCUGUCCCGACCCCUCUGAGACCUGGCUCUAGCAGUAAGUCCCUCUCUCUUCUGCAGCACCAGCCUCUGCCCAUCCCUGCCCUCUGCACACAAAGCUCUCACAUUGUCUGCACUUUAAGAACUUUUGUGGCAAACCCUGGCAAAUCCUGCCACUUGUUUCCACUCUUCUCAAAUGGCUUUGAGGUCAUCAUUGACCUAUCCCAUUUGACCCUGUCCUGUAUCUGAUGUUGUACCCUUUCUCCUUGAUCCCACUCUGGCAACUCUCCCACUCCCCUUUCUUGGAUCAACUGUCUUGCUCCUCAGUCUUGAUCAAUGCCUCCUUCUCUCUCUUUAGCCUUGGCCCUUUUUGGCCAGGGAAAUAAAUGUGAAAUACAUAAAGCUUCAUUUUAUCUUAUGAUUAUAGCUAUGUUGAUGUUACCCAAGACCUAAAAGUCACACUCUCUAAUUACACUUCCCUCCUGUGUUCUGGGUCCUCUUGGACCAGUCCUUACUCUGGCUCCCCUCCUGGAUGUCUCCCAGACUUCUAAUUAGAAUUACUGUUUCCUAUAUCAAGCUAAUUAUCUUUCCCACCAACCUCCUCCAUCCUUGGGUGAAAGCAUCACUUGGUUGCAAAAGUCAGAAAUCUGGGUUUCAUUCUUGCGGUAGGUAGAAUAAUGCCCCCAGGCCCCAGGUUUUGACAUCCGAAUCCCUGGGACUUUGCAGAUGUGAUUCAGUUUAGGAUUUUGAGAUGGGGAGAUUAUCUGGGAGAGCCUGAUGUCAUCAUAAGGUUCUUAUAAGAGGGAGGCAGGAGGGUUAGAGUGAGUAGUAAGAGAUGCAACAGUGGAAGCAAGAGGUUGGGGUGAUGUGGCCACAAGCCCAGGAGUGCUGACAGACAUCAGAAGCUGGAAGGGACAAGGAAUGGUUUCUCCUCUGGAGCCUCCAGAAAGAACCAGCCCUGCUGACACCUUGAUUUUAGCCUUGGAAGACUCAUUUUGGACUUCUGACCUUGAACGUUGUAAGAGAAUAAAUUUACAUAUUUUAAACUGGUA